AGCAAACUACUAGCUCAACAAACAACACUAAAACAACAAACCAUAUAACCUACACAAAACAAAUAAAACAUUCUCUAAUCCUAGUAUGGGCGACAGAAAGGACAACUGAAGCAAUAGAAAUAGUACCGCAAGGGAAAAAUGAAAAAAAUGAAACACAUUUAAGCAAAAAAAAGCAAAGAUUAACCCUUGUACCUUUCGCAUUAUGAUUUAGUCAGCAAUAUCUAGACAAAGAGAACUGAAGUCUAAGACCCCGAAACUAAGUGAGCUACUUAAGGGCAGCAAGUACAACUAAAGCCAACAUCAUCUCUGUGGCAAAAGAGUGAUAAGACCCUUAAGUAGAGGUGAAAAGCCUAACGAACCUAGUGAUAGCUGGUUGCCCAGUAAAAGGGUAUAAGCCCAACCCUAAAUAUUCCAAAAAACAACUAAAAGACAUAAGAAAAAUUUAGGAGCCAUUCAAUUAGGGUACAGCCAAAUUGAAACAGGAUACAACCUAAAAUGAAGGACAAAACACCCAAUUUAACCCGCCGUAGGCCCUAAAGCAGCCACCACUAAAGACCGCGUCAAAGCCCAAUAACAAAAAAUAUAAACAACAAUCUACUCCUCGAACAACACUGAGCCAUUCUACCCAAAUAGAAGAACUAAUGCUAAAAUGAGUAACAAGAAGAUAAACUUCUCUAUUACGCUAGCUUAAAUCAGAACAGACAAACUACUGAUUAUUAACAAUCAAUAUAAAGACAAUAAUACUAAAAAAAACAUAUAGCAUAAACUGUUAACCCAACACAGGAGCGUAAAACAAGAAAGAUUAAAACCUGUAAAAGGAACUAGGCAAACAAAGAGCCCGACUGUUUACCAAAAACAUAGCCCCCAGCAACGAACAGUAUUGGGGGUGAUGCCUGCCCAGUGACACUGUUUAACGGCCGCGGUAUCCUAACCGUGCAAAGGUAGCGUAAUCACUUGUCUUUUAAAUAAAGACUAGUAUGAAAGGCUAAACGAGGCCCUAACUGUCUCUUACAGGCAAUCAGUGAAAUUGAUCCCCUCGUGCAAAAGCGAGAAUACAAAUACAAGACGAGAAGACCCUGUGGAACUUCAAAAAACCAUCAAUUAGACCACAUCUUACCCACAAGGCCUAUAAACUUCAACUAACAUCUGAUAUAUAUUUUUGGUUGGGGCGACCUCGGAGUAAAACAAAACCCCCGAAAACAGAACAUAAUUCCUUACCUAGCUAAACAAUUCAAAGUGCUCCCAGCAAAAUGAUCCAAUCCACUUGACCAACGAACCAAGCUACCCCAGGGAUAACAGCGCAAUCCCGUCACAGAGUCCCUAUCGACGACGGAGUUUACGACCUCGAUGUUGGAUCAGGACAUCCUAAUGGUGCAACAGCUAUUAAGGGUUCGUUUGUUCAACGAUUAAAGUCCCACGUGAUCUGAGUUCAGACCGGAGCAAUCCAGGUCGGUUUCUAUCUAUAACUAAAUCUUUUCCAGUACGAAAGGACCGAAAAGAUAAGGCCCACUUUAAAAUCAAGCCUUAAACUUAUAUUAGUGAACACAACUAAACUAACAAUAAGAACACCACUCACAGCCCAAGACACAGGGCUA
rnacentral:rRNA from 1 species